rnacentral:ncRNA from 1 species
CGCCCGUCACACUAUGGGAGCUGGCCAUGCCCGAAGUUGUUACUUUAACCGCAAGGGGGGGGAUGCCGAAGGUGGGGCUAGUGACUAGAGUGAAGUCGUAACAA